rnacentral:rRNA from 1 species
GCUACCAUGCAGUCGACGGGGACUGUCUAAAGCUUGCUUUAGGCAGUUCUAGUGGCGGACGGGUGAGUAACGCGUGAGGAACCUGCCUUUCAGAGGGGGAUAACGUCUGGAAACGGACGCUAAUACCGCAUGACAUUUUAGAGUCACAUGGCUUUAGAAUCAAAGGAGCAAUCCGCUGGAAGAUGGACUCGCGUCCGAUUAGCCAGUUGGUGAGGUAACGGCCCACCAAAGCGACGAUCGGUAGCCGGACUGAGAGGUUGAACGGCCACAUUGGGACUGAGACACGGCCCAGACUCCUACGGGAGGCAGCAGUGGGGGAUAUUGCACAAUGGAGGAAACUCUGAUGCAGCAACGCCGCGUGAGGGAAGACGGUCUUCGGAUUGUAAACCUUUGUCCUUGGUGAAGAUAAUGACGGUAGCCGAGGAGGAAGCUCCGGCUAACUACGUGCCAGCAGCCGCGGUAAUACGUAGGGAGCAAGCGUUGUCCGGAUUUACUGGGUGUAAAGGGUGCGUAGGCGGCUCUGCAAGUCAGGUGUGAAAACCAUCGGCUCAACUGAUGGACUGCAUUUGAAACUGUGGGGCUUGAGUGAAGUAGAGGCAGGUGGAAUUCCCGGUGUAGCGGUGGAAUGCGUAGAGAUCGGGAGGAACACCAGUGGCGAAGGCGGCCUGCUGGGCUUUAACUGACGCUGAGGCACGAAAGCAUGGGUAGCAAACAGGAUUAGAUACCCUGGUAGUCCAUGCU